CGCGGGUGGAGCAGCUCGGUAGCUCGCUGGGCUCAUAACCCAGAGGUCGCAGGUUCGAAUCCUGUCCCCGCUACCA
rnacentral:tRNA from 1 species